rnacentral:rRNA from 1 species
CUUGGUCAUUUAGAGGAAGUAAAAGUCGUAACAAGGUUUCCGUAGGUGAACCUGCGGAAGGAUCAUUACAAGUGAGGCUACCGAACGUUGGAAACAGCGGUUAGGAGCUUACACCCACCCGUGUUUACAUACUAUUGUUGCUUUGGUGGGCCGUGGCCUCCACUGCGGGCUCUGCUCGUGUGUGCCCGCCAGAGAACCAAACUCUGAAUGUUAGUGAUGUCUGAGUACUAUCUAAUAGUUAAAACUUUCAACAACGGAUCUCUUGGUUCUGGCAUCGAUGAAGAACGCAGCGAAAUGCGAUAAGUAAUGUGAAUUGCAGAAUUCAGUGAAUCAUCGAAUCUUUGAACGCACAUUGCGCCCUGUGGUAUUCCGCAGGGCAUGCCUGUUCGAGCGUCAUUUAACCACUCACGCCUAGCGUGGUAUUGGGGCACGCGGUCUCCGCGGCCCUCAAAAUCAGUGGCGGCGCCGGUGGGCUCUAAGCGUAGUACAUACUCCCGCUAUAGAGUUCCCCCCGGUGGCUCGCCAGAACCCCCAAUUUUUUACAGGUUGACCUCGGAUCAGGUAGGGAUACCCGCUGAACUUAAGCAUAUCAAUAAGCGGAGGA